rnacentral:rRNA from 1 species
AUUGAACGCUGGCGGCAGGCCUAACACAUGCAAGUCGAGCGGAUGAAGGGGCUUGCUCCUGGAUUCAGCGGCGGACGGGUGAGUAAUGCGCAGGAAUCUACCUCGUAGUGGGGGAUAACGUCUCGAAAGGGGCGCUAAUACCGCAUACGUUCUGAGGAAGAAAGCAGGGGACCUUCGGGCCUUGCGCUAUGAGAUGAGCUUGCGUCCGAUUAGCUAGUUGGUAGGGUAAAGGCCUACCAAGGCCACGAUCGGUAGCUGGUCUGAGAGGAUGAUCAGCCACACUGGGACUGAGACACGGCCCAGACUCCUACGGGAGGCAGCAGUGGGGAAUAUUGGACAAUGGGCGCAAGCCUGAUCCAGCAAUGCCGCGUGUGUGAAGAAGGCCUGCGGGUUGUAAAGCACUUUCAGUGGGGAAGAACAGAUUCGGGUCAAUACCCCGGAGCCCUGACGUUACCCACAGAAGAAGCACCGGCUAACUCCGUGCCA